GGGGGCGAUCGGUUUCGACGGGGACGAAGAAGGAUCGGUUGCGUGUACGCCGGCCCGCUACGGCGCAAAUCCAUGCGGGAACCCACAACUGCCAACGACAACGCAGUCGCUCUCGCGGCCUGAACAGCCGUAGAGCCGUCGACCUGGAAAGCCUGUCAGUGCUCGCCGGGAAGACGUCAUUCGAACUGACUGGUCACCGUGUGCGCCACCCGCCACGGUGAUGAGAUUUUGGGUGGCUAGCGUCCCAGACAGCCUGUUCGUGGGCGAGACCGGACGCGAACUCUCAAAACACGAAAUACGCACGUAGACGCCGCUCUGGAUCGUCUUCGGACCGGGGUUCGAUUCCCCGCGCCUCCACCG
rnacentral:tmRNA from 3 species